UUAAAUUGAAGAGUUUGAUCAUGGCUCAGAUUGAACGCUGGCGGCAGGCCUAACACAUGCAAGUCGAGCGGAAACGAGUUAUCAGAACCUUCGGGGGACGAUAACGGCGUCGAGCGGCGGACGGGUGAGUAAUGCCUAGGAAAUUGCCCUGAUGUGGGGGAUAACCAUUGGAAA
rnacentral:rRNA from 1 species